rnacentral:lncRNA from 1 species
UUUUAAAGCAAUCUAAGUCUUCUGAACUUAUUUUAAACAUGUAUCUUCACCACAAAUGAUCUUUUCUACAUACCUUAGGUGUCGAUCUUUCCGAAUGAGUCUUUGUCCUCCAAUUUGAAUCUUUUCUCAAAAUCUUCUGCAAUCAACUCUUCAAGACUCCAAACAACUUUACGAAAUUCGCCAACCUAUAAAAUCCUUAACACCUCACGCAUAAGG